UGUUAAUCUAAGCAAGUACAUUUUGAAUAUUUAUUACCUUUUAAAGAGGAAUGAGCUUGGGAAAAAAAGAGUCUGGAAGUAGACUGGGCAGAAAUCCCUGCAUGAGAAGGGACAGACAACCACUUUCUUCCCCCUGAACAGCCCUGACCACACACUGCCACUGUCCUUCUUCUCAUGUUCUCCUGGUUACGGUGAGACAGCCCAGAUAUGUGAUGUGGCACUGAGUGACAUGGGUUAAUGGGCAUGUUGGUGAUGGGUUAACAGUUGGGCUUGAUGAUCUUAUGGUCUUUUCCAGUCUUAAUGAUUCUAUGAUUCUAUGUGGAAGAUGGCAUGGGCAUAAAGACCCAACAAUGCUUCUUGGGGGAAAAACUGGAAAAGCACUGGAAAAAUGGGCCAAGCUGGACUUUGCUGCCUAAAAAACAGAGCAGAGCCAGGCCUGCUAAGGGAGAUAGGGGAAGGAAAGUGUUGAAAAUGGGGGUCAGAACAUGGUGGUGGAAUCUGUGGACAGUCAUGGUCUUUUGUCCUUGUGGAGAGAAUAAAGCUUGUAUCCUCUCUCUCUCCAGAUUCUUCCAGCAAAGACACUGUACAAUCACAGGCAGCUGCACUGAGGAAAAUGUAAAUGCAAUAGAAAACACAGACGUGGAGGAGCAUCUGUUCUCCCCUCCAGGUCGAGCAGUGGUCUUGAAAGAUGAACCGGCAUGGGGAGAGCUCAGAAGGAGCGAGGUGAGCACAUCUACCAGUGGAAUGUCUGCUCCUACAGUGGCACACUUGUCAGGUGAGAUGGUCUUUCAGCUCAAAAUCAUAUUCUGGGCUCUUGCAUUUUACAGAUGUUUAUAUCCAAAGCCAGAACUGUAUUUCCUAUGGUCCCAUCCGAAAAGCUCCAGCUGCAGACAAAUCUAGGGAGGCAUCAGCUCCUUCUGCAGCAGUGACUGUUGAUACCACCUCACUGAGCUGCCAAUGUCCACCAUGCAAUGUGCCUGCUACAUGAUGCCAGAGAGAAGCACAAUUCAUGGAAGGCUUGCAGGAAGGAGAGAGAAUGUAUAGCAUAGAAGCCUGGAAAGCAGGCCAAGAGGAGGUUAUUCCCAUGAUACAUCUCUGUUCCCCCCUCCCCAUCAUGUCAGCAGCCUCUUCAGCUUCACACAGAGGUUGUGAGGAUUCAUUAGUUAAUGUUUGUAAAGCACUAUAUAGAUGGAGAGAGCUAUGUAAGUGCUAAGUAUUAUUAUUAUUACAGAGAGUCGCUGUUAAGGCAAUGGAUAUGCUCUUAAGUGUCAUUUCAUAUUUAAUUAACGUGCAAUAAUUGUCUUCCAAAACCUGGAGGUACAUCUUUAUUCUUGACACUUCCUUUAAAGAGACACUGCAGCAGAGCUGCUGCUAAUGGGCCUCCUCUCUGGCAUAGGAGGAACAGGAUGAGCUGGGAACUGGAAGAAGAGGAAAGGGAGGUCAAUGAGGGACUUUCUUCUUCACAAUUCCACAAACAUGCCAUGGAUCCAUGGAACAUGUUUGCCAAGAAGUGGUAUUCUCAGAGCUAGGUUACGUAUCUUUUACUGACAGAGGGAAGCAAGGAGAAAUCAGCUGUGGGGCCAUCUGCUCCUCAAGCAAAUGGGAAGGGGAAGCCACCUCUCCCACCUCCCCACGAUGUUUGCAUUUCCGAGUGAGACCAGAGAAGUAAAAAAAGAAGCAGUCCAUCAUUAACUCAGAAAUAACCCGCCUACAGGAGCUGCAGAAGGAUGCUGGGC
rnacentral:lncRNA from 1 species